CAACUUUGUCCCCCAGUGAGGCAAUACCUCACUCAGAGUGCAUCUAUAUGCUAAUCGUACUGCAGCUAUAUUUGUGUUUCUUCCAUGAGCUCAGCUAGAGGAGACCCACGCUGCAGCCUUGUGUCCUCUAUAAAAAUGCAGGUAUGGACAACCUACCCUUGCCUGUGUUCCCACUGGUAGUAGUCUAAGAGCCUCACUAGCACACAGACAAAUACAGCUGUGGCAAAUCUGAUUCCACCUGAUCUUUCUUUUCAAGCAGGUGAGGGACAUCUCUUACUUUGCCUCAAAAAGAGCAACUCCUGCUCUAGAAGUGUAAUUCUGAUCUCUCUCCAGGGGUUCUUGCUACUUUCUUUUAUUGCUAGUAUUCACAAGUGACUUUCCAGCAAGAACAGGGGUUCUUUGCAAUCUGAAAGCAGCAAAAAGCUGUUCCAAAAGCAGCGGGAGGCGCGGAGCCACAGUGACCUCAGCCGGUGCCGGAGAGACCAUGCAGCACCAGCAUCCACAGCUCUGCCCGACCGUGUUUUCAGCUGCAGGAAGCUCAGUGUGUUCCUGCCGCCUUCAGCCAUGGCACUGCUUCUGCUGCCCGUUAUAAUGUCAUAAAUCCAGGUGCUACAGCCCGUACUGGACUGAGACCUUUUCCAUCUCCCCGUUCUCACCACCUCUGGAAAACAGGGUUCAGGAUGACCACGUCUCUUUUGCCACUGGGCACUUGUAGGAGGCAUUUUGAAGCAGUGUCCCCAACUUUUAGUAAUAUAAGCAGCAUACAUCUUACAGUGAUGUCAGUCUCAAAUUUAAGGGCUGUGGUGACUUGAAAUAAAAGGAGUUUACUUCACAGAGGAUUUUACUGUGAAUUACUUAUAACCAUUGCUGUGCCAUACAAAAUUUUCUGUAUCAUAUUCUUGAAUUGUCAGUUCUCAAGUCAUAAUCCAGAGUAAGUACAGCUUCAUGAAAAAACAAUGCCGUGAAGAGCGUUUACAUACAUGUUCCAAGGUGAAAGAUGAUAAUCUCUGUCAAAGAGCUCAUUUUCAUAUUUCUGCCCACAUUCUGUGCUAAAUUAGCAAGCUGAGAACAUUAUAUUUACAAAUAACAGAAUAGACAUUUUCACCAGAAAGCAGCAUCUUUUAGUUUCCCUUAUUUUAAAAUCCAUCAGGUGUUAAUAAAGCCACAUAAAUGUGGGCAAUUGUUAGUUUCAUGGCUAAUAGGGACUCAUUUUUUCCGCUAACAAGCAAUAAAUCCAAGAUCUUUUAUUUCUCGCAACAGCAAAUAAAUCCCAUGUAACCCCAGAAUCUAUAGAUCAUAUAUCCAGCUAAAAAAAAAUAAUAAUAAUAAAAUAAAAAUAAUUGUUCUGUUUGCAUCUAUUAAGUGACAUAGAUUUGCACUGAAAGAGUCCAACUUUGUGUGUUCAGGGGCAAUGACUCUGCAGUCCCCGUAAAAGCUAAAACCAGUCUUUUGCUGGGCCAGGUUCACAUGCUGUGAAACAGAAAGCCCGUUGUUGGGAGCUGGAGGAGGUCGCAUCUCUGAGCUGUGCUGUAAGAGAAGGUCGCCGGGAGGGCUGGGGACAGAGGCCAGUUUGGGUUAACAAGCGGGAUAAAGGGGCUGGGAAUGGGGCGCAGCCAGUGUUCACAGUGUAUGGGUUCAAGUCGGCUCCACGAUGGAGCCUGAAGUUUCCAGAGAGACACAGCUUGAGUCUCGAGCUGCUUCUCAUUGCAGGAAACUGUGUGAAGUGAUGCAAAGUCCCUUAUUCAGAGGAAAUUCUCUUAAAAUUUACACUGCUGUACAGAGACAUGACUUUUUAUUUUCUCUGAUAUGGUGUAUCUGGGUCCUUUAGGUCAGACCAGUUGUGUUCAGAAGCUAUAACGUGAAGUGCAUUUAUUUUACGCAACCAUGAAUAAGUAGUACACAUUUCCUUUCUCCCCUUUGAAGUUAGCAUGGAAUCUAUAUACAACCUUGGCUUGUUGUUUUGUUUGUUGCUGUGUUGUUGUUUUGUUUUUGGUUUGUGGUUGUUGUGGAGUAUUUUUGCGUGCAUUAUCUGGAGAACUGGAAAGAAUCCAGAGGUUGCUCAUGUGUCAGAAAAACAUCAUUUUCUUGUCAAAUCCCACCACUGCUAUCAGUAAAAUAGACAUUUUCAUUCUA